rnacentral:lncRNA from 11 species
AGGGUAUACAGAGUAACGAAAACCAUUUGAUUGGCUUCUCAGCAUCUACGGCCUUGCUCUUCCCGGAAGGUUUUCAGAGCAUACAUCAUGUCUACUUCUCCUGUCCCACCACUAUAAUACAAUUCCAUUCUCAAAGAAGCUUUCUUCUUAUGUUCUUUAUCAUGACGUCAAGACGUUUUCCACUGUGCAUUAGCAAGAUGUUUUCAGCCAAGCACAAGUUGUUCUGAUGAUACUAUGAG